CUUUCUUAACUGUCCCUGUGGACAGAGAUCACACAAGCUCAGUCUGCUCAAUCUGCUCCAGGAAAAGAUAGGAUGAAAAUUUACAAUUAUCAGAAACAAUAUUCUCAACACUCAGACAGGAUCAAGAGAUCAGAGAAGAAAAGAGAUGGACUGGUUUCAAGAAGGUGGAAAAAAUUCCUUCUUUUUGGAGGAAAAAUGAGGGAGGAACAUGUAUAAAGCUCUUCGGACAUCAAUAAAAGUUAAAAAGUGCCUGUUC